rnacentral:rRNA from 1 species
GACGAACGCUGGCGGCGUGCCUAACACAUGCAAGUCGAGCGAAUGAAGUUCCUUCGGGAAUGGAUUUAGCGGCGGACGGGUGAGUAACACGUGGGCAACCUGCCUCAUAGAGGGGAAUAGCCUUCCGAAAGGGAGAUUAAUACCGCAUAAGAUUGUAGUAUCGCAUGAUACAGCAAUUAAAGGAGCAAUCCGCUAUGAGAUGGGCCCGCGGCGCAUUAGCUAGUUGGUGAGGUAACGGCUCACCAAGGCGACGAUGCGUAGCCGACCUGAGAGGGUGAUCGGCCACAUUGGGACUGAGACACGGCCCAGACUCCUACGGGAGGCAGCAGUGGGGAAUAUUGCACAAUGGGGGAAACCCUGAUGCAGCAACGCCGCGUGAGUGAUGACGGCCUUCGGGUUGUAAAGCUCUGUCUUCAGGGACGAUAAUGACGGUACCUGAGGAGGAAGCCACGACUAACUACGUG